rnacentral:rRNA from 1 species
CGGCGCACGGGUGCGUAACGCGUAUGCAAUCUACCUUUUACAGGGGGAUAGCCCAGAGAAAUUUGGAUUAAUACCCCAUGGUAUUAUGGAAUGGCAUCAUUCUGUAAUUAAAGUCACAACGGUAAAAGAUGAGCAUGCGUCCCAUUAGCUAGUUGGUAAGGUAACGGCUUACCAAGGCGACGAUGGGUAGGGGUCCUGAGAGGGAGAUCCCCCACACUGGUACUGAGACACGGACCAGACUCCUACGGGAGGCAGCAGUGAGGAAUAUUGGUCAAUGGGCGCAAGCCUGAACCAGCCAUGCCGCGUGCAGGAUGAAGCAUCUAUGGUGUGUAAACUGCUUUUAUACGGGAAGAAACCCCGCCUCGUGAGGCGGACUGACGGUACCGUAAGAAUAAGGACCGGCUAACUCCGUGCCAGCAGCCGCGGUAAUACGGAGGGUCCAAGCGUUAUCCGGAAUCAUUGGGUUUAAAGGGUCCGUAGGCGGUCUGGUAAGUCAGUGGUGAAAGCCCAUCGCUCAACGGUGGAACGGNCCAUUGAUACUGCCAGACUUGAAUUUCCAGGAAGCAACUAGAAUAUGUAGUGUAGCGGUGAAAUGCUUAGAUAUUACAUGGAAUACCAAUUGCGAARGCAGGUUGCUACUGGUGGAUUGACGCUGAUGGACGAAAGCGUGGGUAGCGAACAGGAUUAGAUACCCUGGUAGUCCACGCCGUAAACGAUGGAUACUAGCUGUUGGGAGCAAUCUCAGUGGCUAAGCGAAAGUGAUAAGUAUCCCACCUGGGGAGUACGAACGCAAGUUUGAAACUCAAAGGAAUUGACGGGGGCCCGCACAAGCGGUGGAGCAUGUGGUUUAAUUCGAUGAUACGCGAGGAACCUUACCAAGGCUUAAAUGUAGAUUGACCGGUUUGGAAACAGAUCUUUCGCAAGACAAUUUACAAGGUGCUGCAUGGUUGUCGUCAGCUCGUGCCGUGAGGUGUCAGGUUAAGUCCUAUAACGAGCGCAACCCCUGUUGUUAGUUGCCAGCGAGUCAUGUCGGGAACUCUAACAAGACUGCCAGUGCAAACUGUGAGGAAGGUGGGGAUGACGUCAAAUCAUCACGGCCCUUACGCCUUGGGCUACACACGUGCUACAAUGGCCGGUACAGAGAGCAGCCACUGGGCGACCAGGAGCGAAUCUACAAAACCGGUCACAGUUCGGAUCGGAGUCUGCAACUCGACUCCGUGAAGCUGGAAUCGCUAGUAAUCGGAUAUCAGCC